rnacentral:rRNA from 1 species
UACCUUUUGUAUAAUGGGUCAGCGACUUAUAUUCUGUAGCAAGGUUAACCGAAUAGGGGAGCCGAAGGGAAACCGAGUCUUAACUGGGCGUUAAGUUGCAGGGUAUAGACCCGAAACCCGGUGAUCUAGCCAUGGGCAGGUUGAAGGUUGGGUAACACUAACUGGAGGACCGAACCGACUAAUGUUGAAAAAUUAGCGGAUGACUUGUGGCUGGGGGUGAAAGGCCAAUCAAACCGGGAGAUAGCUGGUUCUCCCCGAAAGCUAUUUAGGUAGCGCCUCGUGAAUUCAUCUCCGGGGGUAGAGCACUGUUUCGGCAAGGGGGUCAUCCCGACUUACCAACCCGAUGCAAACUGCGAAUACCGGAGAAUGUUAUCACGGGAGACACACGGCGGGUGCUAACGUCCGUCGUGAAGAGGGAAACAACCCAGACCGCCAGCUAAGGUCCCAAAGUCAUGGUUAAGUGGGAAACGAUGUGGGAAGGCCCAGACAGCCAGGAUGUUGGCUUAGAAGCAGCCAUCAUUUAAAGAAAGCGUAAUAGCUCACUGGUCGAGUCGGCCUGCGCGGAAGAUGUAACGGGGCUAAACCAUGCACCGAAGCUGCGGCAGCGACACUAUGUGUUGUUGGGUAGGGGAGCGUUCUGUAAGCCUGUGAAGGUGGCCUGUGAGGG